UACGUAGGGUGCAGGCGUUAAUCGGAAUUACUGGGCGUAAAGCGUGCGUAGGUGGUUUGUUAAGUCUGAUGUGAAAGCCCUGGGCUCAACCUGGGAAUUGCAUUGGAUACUGGCAGGCUAGAGUGCGGUAGAGGAUGGCGGAAUUCCCGGUGUAGCAGUGAAAUGCGUAGAGAUCGGGAGGAACAUCUGUGGCGAAGGCGGCCAUCUGGACCAGCACUGACGCUCAUGCACGAAAGCGUGGGGAGCAAACAGG
rnacentral:rRNA from 1 species